rnacentral:rRNA from 1 species
AUUGAACGCUGGCGGCAUGCUUUACACAUGCAAGUCGAACGGCAGCGCGGGCUUCGGCCUGGCGGCGAGUGGCGAACGGGUGAGUAAUACAUCGGAACGUGCCCAGCAGUGGGGGAUAGCUCGGCGAAAGCCGGAUUAAUACCGCAUACGACCUGAGGGUGAAAGCGGGGGAUCUUCGGACCUCGCGCUAUUGGAGCGGCCGAUGGCAGAUUAGCUAGUUGGUGGGGUAAAGGCCUACCAAGGCGACGAUCUGUAGCUGGUCUGAGAGGACGACCAGCCACACUGGAACUGAGACACGGCCCAGACUCCUACGGGAGGCAGCAGUGGGGAAUUUUGGACAAUGGGCGAAAGCCUGAUCCAGCAAUGCCGCGUGUGUGAUGAAGGCCUUCGGGUUGUAAAGCACUUUUGGCGGGAACGAAAAGGACUGUGCCAAUACCACGGUUCGAUGACGGUACCCGCAGAAUAAGCACCGGCUAACUACGUG